ACGUAAUAGAUACCCUGGUAGUCCACGCCCUAAACGAUGUCUACUAGUUGUUGGUGGAGUAAAAUCCAUGAGUAAACGCAGCUAAACGCGUGAAGUAGACCGCCUGGGGAGUACGGUCGCAAGAUUAAAACUCAAGGAAUUGACGGGGGCCCGCACAAGCGGUGGAUUAUGUGGAUUAAAUUCGAUGCAACGCGAAAAACCUUACCUGGCCUUGACAUGCCACUAACGAAGCAGAGAUGCAUUAGGUGCCCGUAAGGGAAAGUGGACACAGGUGCUGCAUGGCUGUCGUCAGCUCGUGUCGUGAGAUGUUGGGUUAAAGUCCCGCAACGAGCGCAACCCUUGCCAUUAAUUGCCAUCAUUUAGUUGGGCACUUUAAUGGGACUGCCGGUGACAAACCGGAGGAAGGUGGGGAUGGCGUCAAGUCCUCAUGGCCCUUAUGGCCAGGGCGUUCACACGUAAUACAAUGGUCGGUACAGAGAGUUGCCAACCCGCGAGGGGAGCUAAUCUCAGAAAGCCGAUCGUAGUCCGGAUUGUUCU
rnacentral:rRNA from 1 species